AUUGAACGCUGGCGGCAGGCCUAACACAUGCAAGUCGAGCGGAUGAAGGGAGCUUGCUCCUGGAUUCAGCGGCGGACGGGUGAGUAAUGCCUAGGAAUCUGCCUGGUAGUGGGGGACAACGUUUCGAAAGGAACGCUAAUACCGCAUACGUCCUACGGGAGAAAGCAGGGGACCUUCGGGCCUUGCGCUAUCAGAUGAGCCUAGGUCGGAUUAGCUAGUUGGUGAGGUAAUGGCUCACCAAGGCGACGAUCCGCAACUGGUGUGAGAGGAUGAUCAGUCACACUGGAACUGAGACACGGUCCAGACUCCUACGGGAGGCAGCAGUGGGGAAUAUUGGACAAUGGGCGAAAGCCUGAUCCAGCCAUGCCGCGUGUGUGAAGAAGGUCUUCGGAUUGUAAAGCACUUUAAGUUGGGAGGAAGGGUUGUAGAUUAAUACUCUGCAAUUUUGACGUUACCGACAGAAUAAGCACCGGCUAACUCUGUGCCAGCCGCCGCAGUAAGAC
rnacentral:rRNA from 1 species